CUAACUCGGCUGCUCCCAAAG
rnacentral:miRNA from 1 species